CUACAUUUUCUAUUACUAGAACAUUACGAAACUCUACGUGAAAUCCGUAGAAUAAAGGAGGAUUUAGUAGUAAUUAAAACUAGAGUGUUUAAUUGAAUAGAGCAAUGAAGCACGCACACACCGCCCGUCACCCUCCUCAAUUUCUCAACAAUUAAAAGUACAUAACACCUAAUUACAAAAGAUUGAGAGGAGACAAGUCGUAACAAGGUAAGUGUACUGGAAAGUGCACUUGGAAAAAUCAAAAU
rfam:Dipodomys ordii ctg_broad_rename0046714, whole genome shotgun sequence.